UACGGGGGAGCAAGCGUUGUUCGGAUUUACUGGGACGUAAGGGCGCAGGUAGGCGGUCGUGACAAGGUUCACUUGUGAAAAUCUCCGGGCUUAAACUCCGGGAACCGGGUCAAGUGUAGUACUGUCGGACUGAGAGUACAGAAGGGGCAACGUGGAAUUCUCGGUGUAGCGGUGAAAUGCGUAGAUAUCGAGAGGGAACACCUGCGGCGAAGGCGGGUUGCUCGGGCGUGAUACUGACGCUGAGCGCGAAAGCCAGGGGAGGCGAACGGG
rnacentral:rRNA from 1 species